UGUCGUCAGCUCGUGUCGUGAGAUGUUGGGUUAAGUCCCGCAACGAGCGCAACCCUUGUCCUGCGUUGCCAGCGGUUCGGCCGGGGACUCACAGGAGACUGCCGGUGACAAACCGGAGGAAGGUGGGGACGACGUCAAGUCAUCAUGCCCCUUAUGUCCUGGGCUGCACACGCGCUACAAUGGCCGGUACAGAGGGCUGCGAAUCCGCGAGGUGGAGCCAAUCUCCUAAAGCCGGUCUAAGUUCGGAUUGGAGGCUGAAACUCGCCUCCAUGAAGUCGGAGUCGCUAGUAAUCGCGGAUCAGAACGCCGCGGUGAAUACGUUCCCGGG
rnacentral:rRNA from 2 species